rnacentral:rRNA from 1 species
CCUUACCAGGCCUUGACAUCCCAUGCAAUGCUAUAGAGAUAUAGUGGAGGUUACCAUGGAGACAGGUGGUGCAUGGUUGUCGUCAGCUCGUGUCGUGAGAUGUUGGGUUAAGUCCCGCAACGAGCGCAACCCUUAUUGCUAGUUGCCAUCAUUUAGUUGGGGACUCUAGCGAGACUGCCAGUGACAAACUGGAGGAAGGUGGGGAUGACGUCAAAUCAUCAUGCCCCUUAUGGCCUGGGCUACAAACGUGAUACAAUGGGUGCUACAAAGGGCAGCGAAGCCGUGAGGUGGAGCGAAACCCAUAAAAGCACUCUCAGUUCGGAUUGAAGUCUGCAACUCGACUUCAUGAAGUUGGAAUCGCUAGUAAUCGCAAAUCAGAAUGUUGCGGUGAAUACGUUCUCGGGGUUUGUACACACCGCCCGUCAAACCACGAAAGUCAGCAAUACCCAAAGCCGGUGGCCUAACCGUAAGGAGGGAGCCGUUUAAGGUAGGGUUGAUGAUUGGGGUUAAGUCGUAACAAGGUAACCAAGGCGAAUUCCAGCACACU